CUACAUCUACCCUGUAGAUCCGAAUUUGUUUGAAUAUAAACAAGCGACAAAUUCGGUUCUAGAGAGGUUUGUGUG
rnacentral:pre_miRNA from 1 species